UACGAGGGGGGCGAGCGUUGUUCGGAAUUAUUGGGCGUAAAGGGUGCGUAGGCGGUUUGAUAAGUCUGAUGUGAAAUCUAUGGGCUCAACCCAUAGUCUGCAUUAGAAACUGUCGGGCUUGAGUAUGGGAGAGGUGAGUGGAACUGCGAGUGUAGAGGUGAAAUUCGUAGAUAUUCGCAAGAACACCAGUGGCGAAGGCGGCUCACUGGCCCGGUACUGACGCUGAGGUGCGAAAGCGUGGGGAGCAAACAGG
rnacentral:rRNA from 1 species